AGAGUUUGAUUAUGGCUCAGAAUGAACGCUGGCGGCAUGGAUUAGGCAUGCAAGUCGAACGUACUCCCUUCGGGGAGAAAGUGGCGAAAGGGUGAGUAACACGUGAGCAACCUGCCUCCGGAUCCGGAAUAAUCCAGGGAAACUUGGUCUAAAACCGAAUGAAGACAUUGGUCCGCAUGGUCUAAUGUUAAAAUAUUUAUAGUCCGGAGAGGGGCUCGCGGCCCAUUAGCUUGUUGGCGGGGUAAUGGCCCACCAAGGCUACGACGGGUAGGUGGUCUGAGAGGAUGGUCACCCACACUGGGACUGAGACACUGCCCAGACUCCUACGGGAGGCUGCAGUCGAGAAUCUUCCGCAAUGGGCGCAAGCCUGACGGAGCGAUGCCGCGUGAGGGAUGAAGGCCUUCGGGUUGUAAACCUCUGUCAUCCGGGACGAAAACAAUGACGGUACCGGAAAAGGAAGCCACGGCUAACCACGUGCCAGCCGCCGC
rnacentral:rRNA from 1 species